rnacentral:rRNA from 1 species
UACGUAGGGUGCAAGCGUUGUCCGGAAGUAUUGGGCGUAAAGAGCUCGUAGGCGGUUUGUCGCGUCUGCUGUGCAAGUUCGGGGCUCAACCCCGGAACUGCAGUGGGUACGGGCAGACUAGAGUGCGGUAGAGGAGGCUGGAAUUCCUGGUGUAGCGGUGGAAUGCGCAGAUAUCAGGAGGAACACCAGUGGCGAAGGCGGGUCUCUGGGCCCCAACUGCCGCGGAGGAGCGAAAGUGUGGGGAGCGAACAGG